AAUUUACUCAUUUAUUCUCACUCACUCUAACUUGCGGUCAUACAUACAUACUUUAUUUUUUAUUUACCUCUGCUGUCUCCUCUUGCCUCUUCUUUUCACCUUCUUUGCCCCGCAGACACAUCACGUGCGCGCCGCGAAGGUGAAGUACCCGGCGUUGAUUAUCACUUCAUCACGCGCCAAGCCUUUGAGGCGGACAUACUGGCGCGCCGCUUCGUCGAACAUGGCGAAUACGAGAAGGCUUACUAUGGCACCUCGCUGGAGGCCAUACGUACAGUGGUGGCGAGCGGUAAAAUCUGUGUACUGAACCUCCAUCCACAGAGUUUGAAAUUGUUGCGCGCCUCCGAUUUGAAGCCGUAUGUGGUGCUGGUGGCGCCACCGAGUCUCGAUAAACUGCGGCAGAAGAAAAUCCGAAAUGGCGAACCGUUCAAGGAGGAGGAACUCAAAGACAUUAUAGCCACUGCACGCGACAUGGAGGCGCGCUGGGGUCAUCUCUUUGACAUGAUAAUCAUAAACAACGACACAGAUCGGGCAUAUCAACAGCUGCUGGCCGAGAUUAAUUCAUUGGAACGCGAACCACAAUGGGUGCCAGCCAGUUGGGUGCAUAACAAUCGAGACGAGUCAUAAAGUCGAGCAGAAAUAAAUAGAGUGCAAACGGAAUGGAAUUAAACGAGGCGGAAGAACGAGGUUAGGCAAAAAACAGGGAUAGGAAUAGGGGCAGGGUAAGGAAAUUAGAAGCAGCGAAAGUUAAGUUGAAAAGAGAAAUGAAGGCAAUGAGCGUCGCAGCGGCGAAGGAAAACUGUUCAUAGUUAUAUUGAGGUUGAAAUUGUUAUAUGAUUGCGGCUAAAGUCUGUGAAAGGUCGAUGAAAACUCGAGUUGCCAAAAGGCGGCUGCUUUGAGUGCUGAAAUAUCGAUUUCAAAAAUAUUUUUCAACACUUUUUUGGUGGAUGAUUUUCAGUUUUAAUCAAUUUGCAGUAUAUUUUUUUUGCUAAAAAACAUUCAUUUAGAUUUUAAAAAAAUUUGCAUUGCUCGCUUUUGUACUCCUCAGCUGCUUAUCUCUGGUUACAUAAGCUUUUAAAAUGUCCUUAAAUUUCUCGCGAUUGCAAAAAUAAGUUUUUUGGAUUUUAGCCGAAAUUUCGCCCACACUGCGGCACUGUGCCUCGCCGCUUCGUAUAGGUUUCUAGCAUAGUACAGGAUUUUGCCAGGCAAAAGUGGCUGCAGAUGCUUUAUUUCCAAGCAAAAAUGCAAUAAUAACUACAUAUAUUUACAUACAUACACUUAUACUUAUUUACUUAGACAUACAGUAUACUACAUACAUAUACAUAUUUACAUAGACCCACUCACACAGAAACAUAUGUAUGUAUAUGUAACUUGUUGAUUUAAUUGAUAAAAUUUUACACUUAAUUUGGAAUUUUCCGCGUCAGACUGGGGCGUUGAGGGCGUUGAAAAAAAAUAAAAAAUAAAAAAUAAAAAAUAACAAUAAUAAGAAAAGUGGGAAAAUUUAUUGAUGAUAAGGCAACUAACUGUGCUUUAUAUCUAAUAUCGUUUAUAAAAGAAAACAAUAUCGCUACCUAAAGGUGAAAAGGUGUCAAGUCCACUUUUUUCAAAACUACAUCGAUUUUUCGUCUCUCCUAAACAAUUUCAAAAAAAAAAAGGAUUUGGCGCCUUGUCACGUUUAAGUAACGAUAUUUUAUUGAAAAUUCAUUGAAAAAAAUUAGUUGUUUUCGUUUUAAGUGUAAUAUAAAAAUUAGUGGCCCUUUUCAUAAAAUUUUCAAAAAAAUAUAACUGCUGCUUGUAAAAAAGAUCGAUCAAAGUAGGUCAUUUGAAUUUUUUAUGAAUUUGGCUAUUAAAAACUUUAAAAUACCAAGUCUAACAGAGUAUCACAAAAUAGUUUUAAUAUACGUUAUGUUAUAAAAUAUUGUUCUCUAUAAUAUAUAUAUAUAUGUAUAUGCAUGUGUACUAAAUCCGAGAAAUUCCUUAAUUGCAAAAUGUGUGUAAAUUUGUUAAUUUAAAUUUGAUUGUUUACCUUUAUCUUUUCGCGCGUAAAAAUAAGUUGCAAACAGAAUUAUGAGAAGAAAUAAUACCUUAAUUUAUAAAAUUAAAAAAAGGCCAAAAAUAAAAUUUGGCUUUUUAAAGCAGUUUUGUAAAUUAGUACCUAUUUUAAGAAAAAAAAAAUGAAUUUU